rnacentral:rRNA from 1 species
UACGGGGGGGGUAAGCGUUGUUCGGAAUUACUGGGCGUAAAGGGCUCGUAGGCGGCCAACUAAGUCAGACGUGAAAUCCCUCAGCUUAACUGGGGAACUGCGUCUGAUACUGGAUGGCUGGAGUUUGGGAGAGGGAUGCGGAAUUCCAGGUGUAGCGGUGAAAUGCGUAGAUAUCUGGAGGAACACCGGUGGCGAAGGCGGCAUCCUGGACCAAUACUGACGCUGAGGAGCGAAAGCGUGGGGAGCAAACAGG